UGCCAUGCCGAAGAGAGGCGCUUUCAAUUUUACGGAUGCCAACAAGAUUACAUGUAACGUUAAGUAUACACAAUUAAGGAAGUGUGCAGAAAUUGAUUAAUUUCUCUCUUCUUACAAGUAUUUUUAAUCUUUUUGUUAGGACUUGGGAGUUUAGUGGAAGAGUGAAAGGUAUACAGCUGGAUAUUGUAGACACAACAAGUGCUCAAGAAUCAAGAUGCUUUUCUAGCUGGAGUAUCAUCAAAACAGUAAUGCAUUAAAACAGUCUAUCUAUACUCAAUCGUUCUUAAAAGGGUAGUGAAUGAACCACUUGAAAGUAUAUGAUAUCCUAUGUUCUUGGUUUAGAUGGGAAUAGCAUGGCAAAAGUGUUUUAUGAGCUUUGUACAGUGUAA
rnacentral:lncRNA from 1 species